AAUCCGCACCGGCCGUCCCCCUUUCGGCCUGCGCGGAGCCGGGGAACCACCAUCUGGGAUCCACGGCCGUCCAGGACAUCUCGCUUCGCACGGCGGAGCCAUGCCCUGGGCCGCCUUCAACGGGAUCCCUUGGGGCGAAUCAGCGCUUCCCGCGCUGUAGGGCGGCCUCCACGCCCGAGCCCGACAGCUAACCCGGCCGGCCUUAUGGAAGGAACCA
rnacentral:sRNA from 2 species